GGAUUAAUUUAUUGGUCGUGCUAUUGUACGUACUGGUAUUAUUGAUUCCUACCUUCUGACGAACCAUGAUGUCAUUAAUUUGGUGUCAUGGGGAAUCAGGACUGUUACUUUGAAAAAAUUAGAGUGUUUAAAGCAGGCUCACGCUUGAAUACAUUAGCAUGGAAUAACGAAAUAGGACGUUUGAUUCUAUUUUGUUGGUUUCUAGGAUCGACGUA
rnacentral:rRNA from 1 species